rnacentral:rRNA from 1 species
UGCGCAGGCGGUUCCAUAAGACAGAUGUGAAAUCCCCGGGCUCAACCUGGGAACUGCAUUUGUGACUGUGGAGCUAGAGUACGGUAGAGGGGGAUGGAAUUCCGCGUGUAGCAGUGAAAUGCGUAGAUAUGCGGAGGAACACCAAUGGCGAAGGCAAUCCCCUGGACCUGUACUGACGCUCAUGCACGAAAGCGUGGUAGCAAACA